rnacentral:rRNA from 1 species
UGGGGGAUAUUGCACAAUGGGCGAAAGCCUGAUGCAGCGACGCCGCGUGGGGGAUGAAGGCCUUCGGGUUGUAAACUUCUUUUGCUCUGAACAAGGCGCACCAUGGGGUGUGUGGAGUGUAGGGGUUGAUUAGCGCCGGCUAACUACGUGCCAGCAGCCGCGGUAAUACGUAGGGCGCGAGCGUUGUCCGGAAUUAUUGGGCGGAAAGGGCUUGUAGGUGGCUGGUUGCGUCUGUCGUGAAAGCUCAUGGCUUAACUGUGGGUUUGCGGUGGGUACGGGCUGGCUUGAGUGCAGUAGGGGAGGCUGGAAUUCCUGGUGUAGCGGUGGAAUGCGCAGAUAUCAGGAGGAAUACCGGUGGCGAAGGCGGGUCUCUGGGCUGUUACUGACACUGAGGAGCGAAAGCAUGGGGAGCGAACAGG